rnacentral:lncRNA from 1 species
CGGCGGGGCCCGGAGCCGCUGUGCCCCGUGCCGCCCCACAGGCGCCAGCCGGGAGCUCCGCGCAGGUCCCGGCCCCGCAGGCGCAGCCCGGGAGGGUGAAGGAAGCGGGGAGAGAACGCGGCGUACGGAACGCCGCACCGAGGGGGAUUUCUGAGCCAUAAAAGCGGCCCUGAGAGGAAUGCGGAUCUCCACGGCGAGCAGCAAGAACCACCUCAGGAGAGCGGAGCCAACCCCGGGCCCGAGCAGAGGGCACCCGCAGGCAAAGAGGAGCGCUCGAGACCUUUAAAGCCACCUCAGGGAGCGCUGCUGCGGGGUGCGGGCACAGAGAGCCCCCGGGAGGAGGGCGGUCCUCCAUCCACUCCUUCGGAAGACAUUUCUACGCCGUUAAUGUACCUCUGAAAACAUGCACCUGAGCUAACGGCGAUUCCCGAAACCAUUUCGUGUCAUUCACUGCAAAGAGAUGGCGGUAUUCAUUUCAGACUUUGAGAGCAAAGAAUAAAUUGUGCAGAGCGGGAGAAUCCAGGAGCAGAGAAACUGAGUUCAUGCAAAAAUGAGAGCACACAGCAGAUCACAUCCGAGUGAGCUGACCCUUACAGCAGAAACAAACCGGGUACGUGACAGGAGGUGAAGCUCGCGUUGUAAGCGAUGUCCCUGGAGAUUGUGCACCACCGGGGAGAGGGCCGAGUCCGGCACGUGGAGCUCCCUCAAGCAAAGUGAGCAUCAGCACGGGCAGUUUGCUGCGGAGAGCUGCAUGGAAUCUGAGCAGCGAUGGAACUCAGGACAUCACUCGACCUUUCGGGCCGUCAACUGCAGCAGAAAUAAAAUAAACAUUUCCCAACGUGAGCAACUUCUGAGCCCUCUACCAUCACAUCUGCCUUCCUGAGCUGCAAGACAGUAACUUUCUGCAACUCUACAACACACUGCCUGACCUCAUCAACUGCAGAAGGAUAAAAUGGAAGUAAACUGAAAAUAUACUUGGAAACAUUUUUGGUAACCACUUUUUUCUGGUUAGAUUUCACGCAGACGUCGGGUUUCAGAAACAGAAGCAAACAAACACCAGUAAGAUUUCUGAGAUAGCCACACAUUGCAAUCCCAGUCAAA